CAAAAAAUAGUUUAUUGAGAUAGAAUAUUAAUUUUGGAGAUUAAAGGUAUAAAAUUUUAAUUAUUUUUUUGA
rnacentral:tRNA from 1 species